UCCCGUUGAUCCUGCGGGAGGCUGCUGCUAUCAGGGUUCGAUUUAACCAUGCAAGUCAAGGGGUCCUUCGGGACACCGGCAGAAUGCUCAGUAACACGUCAAUAAUCUAACCUUAGGUCUUGGAUAACCUUGGUAAACUGAGGCUAAUAUGAGAUAGAAGAACAAUUCUGGAACGAGGUUCUUUGAAAAGUAAUGCCUAAGGAUGAGUUGGCGGCUGAUUAGGUUGAUGGUGGGGUAAAGGCCCACCAUGCCUACGAUCAGUAGGGGCCUUGAGAGAGGGAGCCCCGAGAAGGGCACUUAGACACUUGCCCUAGCCCUACGGGGUGCAGCAGGUGCGAAACCUUUACAAUGCACGAAAGUGUGAUAAGGGAACCCUGAGUGCCUAUACUUUGUAUAGGCUUUUACUAAAGGUAAAUACUUUAGUGAAUAAGCGGUGGGUAAGACUGGUGCCAGCCGCCGCGGUAACACCAGCGCCGCUAGUGGGAGCCGCGUUUAUUGGGCCUAAAGCGUCCGUAGCUGGAUAAAUAAAUCUUUUGUGAAAUUGUAAAGCUUAACUUUACAGCGUGCAGAAGACACUGUUUGUCUUGGAACCGGAAGGAGUCAGAGGUAUGGAAAGGGGAGCGGUAAAAUGCUAUAAUCCUUUUUAGACCACCUGUGGCAAAGGCGUCUGACUAGUACGGGUUCGACAGUGAGGGACGAAAGCCAGGGGAGCGAACCGGAUUAGAUACGAGAAAUCAUGUCUGAUUUCUGGAGUUAGCUUUGUAAAAGAUUCGUUAAAUCUACUAAAUUACGAGCGAAACAGAAGUUGCUAUAUGAUGAUUUACUCGCUAACUACCCGAGUAGUCCUGGCUGUAAACUCUGCGAGCAAGGUGUUGCACAUUCCACGAGGAUGUGCUGUGUCGAAGCGAAGGCGUUAAGCUCGCCGCCUGGGAAGUACGGUCGCAAGGCUGAAACUUAAAGGAAUUGGCGGGGGAGCGCCACCAGGGGUGCGGCGUGCGGUUUAAUCUAAUUCAACACAGAGAAUCUCACCAGGGGCGACGGCAGAAUGAAAGUCAGGCUGAAGACCUUACUUGACAAGCCGAGAGGUAGUGCAUGGCCGUCCUCAGCUCGUGCCGCGAGGUGUCCUCUUAAGUGAGGUAACGAGCAAGACCUGUAUCUACAGUUGCUAACAAGUUCUUUAGAAUGAUUGAGCACACUGUAGAGACUGCCUUGGAAACAAGGAGGAAGGUGCAGGCUACGACAGGUCUGUAUGCUCCAAAUCCACUGGGCUACACGCGCGCAGCAAUGGUAGGGACAAUGGGAUACAACUCCGAAAGGAGAAGUUAAACCUCUAAACCCUACCCAAGUUCAGAUUGAGGAUUGUAAUUCAUCCUCAUGACGAUGGAAUCCCUAGUAAUUGGACAUUAUCAGUGUCCAGUGAAUAUGUCCCCGCUCCUUGCACACACUGCCCGUCAAAUCAACCGAGCAGGGUUUUGAUGAGGCUUAGUCAUUAGAUUGAGUCGAAUCUAAGCUCAGUGAGGUGGGUUAAGUCGUCACAAGGUAUCCGUA
rnacentral:rRNA from 1 species